UACGGAGGGGGCUAGCGUUGUUCGGAAUUACUGGGCGUAAAGCGCACGUAGGCGGCUUUGUAAGUUAGAGGUGAAAGCCCAGGGCUUAACCCUGGAAUUGCCUUUAAGACUGCAUCGCUAGAAUUGUGGAGAUGGUAAGUGGAAUUCUCGGUGUAGAGGUGAAAUUCGUAGAUAUCGAAGAGGAACACCGGUGGCGAAGGCGGCCAACUGGACGAAUCU
rnacentral:rRNA from 1 species